rnacentral:rRNA from 1 species
GGGUAGAGCACUGUUUCGGCAAGGGGGUCAUCCCGACUUACCAACCCGAUGCAAACUGCGAAUACCGGAGAAUGUUAUCACGGGAGACACACGGCGGGUGCUAACGUCCGUCGUGAAGAGGGAAACAACCCAGACCGCCAGCUAAGGUCCCAAAGUCAUGGUUAAGUGGGAAACGAUGUGGGAAGGCCCAGACAGCCAGGAUGUUGGCUUAGAAGCAGCCAUCAUUUAAAGAAAGCGUAAUAGCUCACUGGUCGAGUCGGCCUGCGCGGAAGAUGUAACGGGGCUAAACCAUGCACCGAAGCUGCGGCAGCGACACUAUGUGUUGUUGGGUAGGGGAGCGUUCUGUAAGCCUGUGAAGGUGUGCUGUGAGGCAUGCUGGAGGUAUCAGAAGUGCGAAUGCUGACAUAAGUAACGAUAAAGCGGGUGAAAAGCCCGCUCGCCGGAAGACCAAGGGUUCCUGUCCAACGUUAAUCGGGGCAGGGUGAGUCGACCCCUAAGGCGAGGCCGAAAGGCGUAGUCGAUGGGAAACAGGUUAAUAUUCCUGUACUUGGUGUUACUGCGAAGGGGGGACGGAGAAGGCUAUGUUGGCCGGGCGACGGUUGUCCCGGUUUAAGCGUGUAGGCUGGUUUUCCAGGCAAAUCCGGAAAAUCAAGGCUGAGGCGUGAUGACGAGGCACUACGGUGCUGAAGCAACAAAUGCCCUGCUUCCAGGAAAAGCCUCUAAGCAUCAGGUAACAUCAAAUCGUACCCCAAACCGACACAGGUGGUCAGGUAGAGAAUACCAAGGCGCUUGAGAGAACUCGGGUGAAGGAACUAGGCAAAAUGGUGCCGUAACUUCGGGAGAAGG